UAUAGCCGUACCACCCUGAAUGUGCCUGAUCUCCUUUGGUCUCAGAAGCUAAGCAGGGUUGGGCCUGGUUAGUACUUGGAUGGGGGAAUGUUUUAGUAAAACUUUAU
rnacentral:rRNA from 1 species